rnacentral:misc_RNA from 1 species
UUCGGUAUCCUGUGUUGCUUACCUAUCGAAAGGAAUCCGAUGGUUUCGUUAGUCCCUUUCCGCCCCCUGCCCUCACGGGUUUCGGGGUGGACAUCAGGCAAGCCUCGUGUUCCCGGCAUGCUUCGCCCAGCUGCGUCGCUGCCUCGGCCCAUGAGGUGCAUUGCCCGUGCUCUCGGAUGCAGAAUGUUAUGUGCGGGUGCGGGGUCUAUUUAUUAGCUCCGUUUGCCCAAGCAACGCAUUUGUCUUACGACACGAACGACUGCCGUGCCCGUCUUGAGCCCGCGGCCGUACGGCCUGCCGGGCCUCAUGCGGGCGUCGG